rnacentral:tRNA from 7 species
GGUGCAGUAGUCUAGUCAGGUAAGGCGGUGAUCUUAAGAAUCACUUCAUAACCGUGUCGGGGGUUCAAAUCCCUCCUGCACCG